CCGUGGCAGCGCGGGCCCUCGCGGAGGUGCCAGGUCAGAAAACACCGGCCCAGCUCCUGCCCCUCCCCCGCCCCCGGGCGCGGUGCUGAGACUUGAAAAUUGCGCUGGGUCAGAGGAUUUCUCCGCUCCCCCCCCGCGCGCACACGCCCCGCGGAUCCGUCCCCUCGGCUGCGUGCCAGCAGCGCGUGCGUUUCGCUUCGCACCCUCCUCUCCGCCACGAACGAGUUUUGACCUUUCAAUAGAGAGCUGAUUCUGGAGAACAACUUACUUCUGUGAUUGAAAAAUUCUCUCUGAAAAGCUGAUGCAGUAUAAGUAUGGUACAUUCAUUUGGCACUCUGAAGAAGAGAUUAUUUUGGCAGUAUCUUCCCACCCCUUGACAAAAAGAUGAUACAUCUGACUCAGAACUGGAAAGGGAAAUCUGCCAGUUUACGUCAACUCCUAACUUGUGGGCUUCUGUUCACCACAAGGACAAUUGGGUGAACAGAAAUUACUUUGCCAGUAAUUCUUGGAAGAUGAGGAAGAAGAGUCAUCUCCAAAAAGACAUGUGGUGCCUCACACUGUAGGCCUGGGCCUUCUGUAUUUAUAGGAAAAACAUAGUAUAAUGUAAGGUGUUCUUACACUUAAUUUAAUUCGGAAACCAGCAAAUAAGAUUGUUCUAGAAUCUAAAGUUUAAAAUGGGGAGGAGCCACCUUGAGAUUUGUGAUGCAGAAUAAGAUCAAAAGAAUAUGCUUCCAUUCAAAAAUGCAAGAAAUCUAUUUUGAAGGUAAUAAGCUACCACGGAAUGGAAAUCCAAGUGAAUGUAAUUAAGAAUCGUCUUCCUAAAGAACAUCUGAAACUUCUGCUUCAAUGACAAAUUAAGAGCGCCAAGUACAAUACAUUCCCAAGAACAGCAAAAAUGACAAUUAUUGUUCCUCUGUUGUGGUCUAGUGAGCUUCUGUACCCAUGUCCUGGUUUGCUAAAUAUUUAGGUACAAAUAAUGUCUGGCCUUACCAUGUUUCAGGCACUUACUAAAAAGGAAGUAAUUGGUGUGAUUUCAUUGGGUCAUAAAAGAAAAAAAUAACACCAUUUAUCUCUGAUAUGGAUGGCUGUGUCCAAAAAGGCCAUCUUCUUUUAGAACGUAGAAGAAAUGCAUUGGUCUAGAGUCUGACAAGUUAAUGAAACACAGACUGGCUGGUUUUGCUUGGACUCUUAUGUCAUUGUACUAAUACCCUGGUCCUAGAAUCUCUAAAAGCCACGCCGAAAAAAAGACUUGACUCUUGGGCUUGAUUCAAUGUUCUUUGCUAAAGACCAAUUUUAUUUCAUCUUAGUUGUUUUAUAGAAGGACUAUAAAUAUCAAGUUCGUUCACUUGCAUAGCAUUUUGGGGGUAGGGAGGAAGAAUAUUCUGAAAGUCUGCUUUGCUUUUUUAGAAUUUUGAUCGGAUUCCAAUAAAGUAUCAAAUUAAAAGACCAA